UCUUGGUCCAUUAGAGGAAGUAAAAGUCGUAACAAGGUUUCCGUAGGUGAACCUGCGGAGGAUCAUUAUUGAAUUAGCGAGGGCUGUCUGCUGGCCCCUUCGGGGGCAUGUGCACGUCCGAGCCGUUUAAAUCAACACCUGUGAACUCACCGUAGGCCUUCGGGCUUAUGUAUCAUAUAUAUAUAUACUCAGAUCAUAGAAUGUACAUUUUGCCUUUAAAAAAGCAAUCAAAUACAACUUUCAACAACGGAUCUCUUGGCUCUCGCAUCGAUGAAGAACGCAGCGAAAUGCGAUAAGUAAUGUGAAUUGCAGAUUUUCAGUGAAUCAUCAAAUCUUUGAACGCACCUUGCGCUCCUUGGUAUUCCGAGGAGCAUGCCUGUUUGAGUGUCAUUAAAUCCUCAACCCCGUCCGUCGGUCGGGGCUUGGACUUUGGAGCGUGCUGGCGAAGGUCGGCUCCUCUUUAAAUGCAUCAGCGGAGAAAAACAAACCUUUUUUCCCCCUUCAGCGUGAUAACUGCGUUGCGCUGUGGUCGCGAAAGGGUCCGCUCAUAAUCGUCCUCGGACAAACACCGAAUCUGUUUUGACCUCAGAUCAGGUAGGACUACCCGCUGAACUUAAGCAUAUCAAUAAGCGGAGGAA
rnacentral:rRNA from 1 species